GGGAAUAUUGGACAAUGGGCGAAAGCCUGAUCCAGCCAUGCCGCGUGUGUGAAGAAGGUCUUCGGAUUGUAAAGCACUUUAAGUUGGGAGGAAGGGCAGUAAGCUAAUACCUUGCUGUUUUGACGUUACCGACAGAAUAAGCACCGGCUAACUCUGUGACAG
rnacentral:rRNA from 1 species